rnacentral:rRNA from 1 species
AACGAACGCUGGCGGCAGGCCUAACACAUGCAAGUCGAGCGCGCCCUUCGGGGUAAGUGGCGGAUGGGUGAGUAAAGCGUGGGAAGGGGGCCUUAUCUACGGAAAACCCUUGGGUAACGGAGAGUAAUAUCGGAAACGCCAUGUGGAGAAAGGAUAUAACUGAAUAGGAUCGGCCCGCGUUGGAUGAGGUAGUUGGUGGGGUAAUCGCCGACCAAGCCGACGAUCCAUAGCGGGUUUGAGAGGAUGAUCCGCCACACUGGGACUGAGACACGGCCCAGACUCCUACGGGAGGCAGCAGUGGGGAAUCUUGCACAAUCGCGGCAACCCUGAUCGAGCCAUGCCGCGUGAGUGAUGAAGUCCUUAGAGUUGUAAAGCUCUUUCAGCUGGGAAGAUACUGACGGUACCAGCAGAAGAAGCCCCGGCUAACUCCGUG